GACGAACGCUGGCGGUGUGCUUGACACAUGCAAGUCGAACGAGAAGCCCGGGCUUGCCCGGGUGGACAGUGGCGAACGGGUGAGUAACACGUGAGCAACCUGCCCCGAAGACCGGGAUAACACCGGGAAACCGGUGCUAAUACCGGAUGUCUUCGCCGGACCGCAUGAUCCGGCGAGGAAAUGGUCCGCCGCUUCGGGAUGGGCUCGCGGCCUAUCAGCUUGUUGGUGGGGUAACGGCCCACCAAGGCGACGACGGGUAGCUGGUCUGAGAGGAUGUCCAGCCACACUGGGACUGAGACACGGCCCAGACUCCUACGGGAGGCAGCAGUGGGGAAUCUUGCGCAAUGGGCGAAAGCCUGACGCAGCGACGCCGCGUGCGGGAUGAAGGCCUUCGGGUUGUAAACCGCUUUCAGCAGGGACGAAAUUGACGGUACCUGUAGAAGAAGCCCCGGCCAACUACGUGCCAGCCGCCGCGGUAACAC
rnacentral:rRNA from 1 species